CUGGCUCCCUUUUCUGGGAUGAUGGUGAAUCCAUUGACUCCAUCGAGAAGGAGGACUUCUUCUAUGUAGACUACAAGUUCAGUCAAUACACGUUGAAGAUGAAGGUGCUGAACAAUGGCUUUCAAGGCAUCACCACGCUGGCCUACGGCACCAUCCAAAUCCUAGGCUUCACCACCAGGCCCCAAGUGGUGUCCAUGAAUGGAAACACCAUC